rnacentral:rRNA from 1 species
GUCAGCCGCCAUAUCACCCUGCAGCUCACAACUGGAUGCCCACUGAAGCUCAACAGGUGUGAGCCUGGUCAGUACCCGGAUGGGAGACCUCCUGGGAAAGCUAAGCUUGCUGCUGGAA